UUCACUCUCAAUUUCACUUGGGGACCACAAAUUCAUUACAACGUAUUCUUCCAAUCCCACGAAACCAGGGGAGGAAAUUCCACUCUAAUAAAUUUUUCUUCCUCGGUAUCAUUUGACAUUUCAUAAUUUCAAUUCAUUCCCUCAUUCACACGCUUAAAGAAAAUAGAUUUCAUAAGAUAUUUUCCCUCACGCGGGUCUCAUUUCUCAAAACCCCCUCAUUUCACCUCAUUAUUUAAGGAACUACUAUUUCAUUAGAAAAGAGAGGAAUCCAUAGAAAAGUUACUCUACUCAAUUCCAUGCCCAGACCUACACUAAAGCUCUUAUCAUAAGCCUCUCAAACCACCACAUCGGAGCUCUGAGUUAAGGCUGAGUUGAGACCUCUCAUCAGAAGUAACAUUUAACAGCACAACAACCACACACAAGAAGAAGGAUGAGAAGAGGAUUCAGUUUGAAGCAUAAACGAGGAAAGGAGAUAGAUAAAGACAAGAAGUUUUGUACUUAAGGACAUUCAUCGUACUGGAGAUCUUACCGACAUACCAGAGUUUUCACCAUCGCGUCGGAUUCUUUUAAUCUUUGAUUUGGAUUUUUUUAUUGGUAUUGCAUUCCUAAAUGAGGAGACUCUUCGCAAUCUACAAAGUCGAAGGUUGGUACCGUCAAGCCAGUUCCAUUCUUGAUCGAGUUCUUUUGCCUUUUCCCAUGGCUUUUUUAUCCUCCAUCACAAAAGGAAAAGAUACCAUAGACGAAAAGGGACUAGGGUAACCAAAUAAAGAAUAGCAUGGAGAGGGAAACACCUGGAAAGAACCAACAAACUAGUAAGAAGAUAACAGGGAGGGAUAAGCACCUGGAAAGAACCAGAAUAAAAAAUAGCAGACACUACUAUGAAAUAUACCUUUGAAUUUGUUACGGAUCGUAGUUGGAUGAAAGCUGAUAGAUUAGGUCUGGUGUACAAGAAAAGAGUUCUUGAAUUCCUUGAAUUCACGAAACACAAUCUUAUUGGAAAUAAUGUUCCCUUUUAUUGUCCUUGUGUUAAUUGUGGAAAUAUCAAAAAAUUGUCAAAGGACGAAAUAUUACAUCACCUAUGUUGUAAUGUAAUAUGUCAAAAUUAUACAACAUGGACGUGGCAUGAAGAAGUGGAUAAAAAUUGAAAUGUGAUGUCACAAAUGUAUGGAGUUGAUGAAGAUAUGGAUGAUCGACUAUAAGAUAUGAUCAGUGAUAUUGGAGAGUCGUCUUUUUAUGAAAGCUCAUAUUUAUGAUACUUUAUAUAGUGAUAGGAUGCAUAUUUAUAUAAGAGGUGCACAAGUUUUACACGAUUGUCUACAUUAUUAAAAUUGUUUAAUCUGAAGGCAAAAAAUGGAAGUUUCACAAAAUUGUUUGAUUUGUUGAAACAAAUGCUACCAAAAGAUAACAAUUUGUCGGAUCAUUGUUAUGGGUCCAAGAAGAUAUUAUGCACAAUGGGUUUGGAGUAUAUCAAAAUACAUGCAAGCCCUAAUGAUUGCAUAUUAUACAUGAAAGAGUAUGAAAUUUUGGAUCAAUAUCCGGAAUAUGGUGAGUCGCGCUGCAAGUUGAAGGACAACAAUGGUGAUGAAAAUGAUAAUGUUAGCAAGAAGCGAUCUCCUCCUAAAGUGUUAUGGUACUUGUCAAUAAUUUUAAGGUUCAAGAGACUUUUUGUUAAUGCGAAUGAUGCAAAUAAUAUUAGAUGGCAUGCAGAUGAAAGAAAAUGUGAUGGAAACAUUCACCAUCUAGCUAAUUCUUUGCAAUGGAAGAAAAUUUAUUCAUUAUUUAUGGAUUUUGUGCUUGAGCCAAGAAACCUUAGGAUUUGGAUUGCCACUGAUGGAAUGGACACCUUUGGUAAUUUGAGUACUAAGCAUUCUUUAUGGCAUAUUUUUCUCACUAUAUACAACAUAUCUUUUUGGUUA